UACGGGGGGAGCAAGCGUUGUUCGGAUUUACUGGGCGUAAAGGGCGCGUAGGCGGCGCAACAAGUCACUUGUGAAAUCUCCGGGCUUAACUCGGAGCGGUCAAGUGAUACUGUCGUGCUAGAGUGCGGAAGGGGCAACUGGAAUUCUCGGUGUAGCGGUGAAAUGCGUAGAUAUCGAGAGGAACACCUGCGGCGAAGGCGGGUUGCUGGGCCGACACUGACGCUGAAGCGCGAAAGCUAGGGGAGCGAACGGG
rnacentral:rRNA from 1 species